rnacentral:ncRNA from 1 species
UUCUUCGGGGCAGGGUGAAAUUCCCUACCGGCGGUGACAGUCCGCGACCUGCUUAUGGCAGCUGAUUUGGUGAAAUUCCAAAACCGACAGUAUAGUCUGGAUGAGAGAAGAA